GAUGAACGCUGGCGGCGUGCUUAACACAUGCAAGUCGAGCGAAGCGAUUUAAAUGAGACUUCGGUGGAUUUUAAAUUGACUGAGCGGCGGACGGGUGAGUAACGCGUGGAUAACCUGCCUCACACAGGGGGAUAACAGUUAGAAAUGACUGCUAAUACCGCAUAAGCGCACAGUACCGCAUGGUACGGUGUGAAAAACUCCGGUGGUAUGAGAUGGACCCGCGUCUGAUUAGGUAGUUGGUGGGGUAACGGCCUACCAAGCCGACGAUCAGUAGCCGACCUGAGAGGGUGACCGGCCACAUUGGGACUGAGACACGGCCCAAACUCCUACGGGAGGCAGCAGUGGGGAAUAUUGCACAAUGGGCGAAAGCCUGAUGCAGCAACGCCGCGUGAGUGAAGAAGUAUCUCGGUAUGUAAAGCUCUAUCAGCAGGGAAGAAAAUGACGGUACCUGACUAAGAAGCCCCGGCUAACUACGUGCCAGCAGCCGCGGUAAUACGUAGGGGGCAAGCGUUAUCCGGAUUUACUGGGUGUAAAGGGAGCGCAGACGGCACUGCAAGUCUGAAGUGAAAGCCCGGGGCUCAACCCCGGGACUGCUUUGGAAACUGUAGAGCUAGAGUGCUGGAGAGGCAAGCGGAAUUCCUAGUGUAGCGGUGAAAUGCGUAGAUAUUAGGAAGAACACCAGUGGCGAAGGCGGCUUGCUGGACAGUAACUGACGUUCAGGCUCGAAAGCGUGGGGAGCAAACAGGAUUAGAUACCCUGGUAGUCCACGCCGU
rnacentral:rRNA from 1 species